rnacentral:rRNA from 1 species
GAUGAACGCUGGCGGCGUGCCUAAUACAUGCAAGUCGAGCGAACAGACGAGGAGCUUGCUCCUCUGACGUUAGCGGCGGACGGGUGAGUAACACGUGGAUAACCUACCUAUAAGACUGGGAUAACUUCGGGAAACCGGAGCUAAUACCGGAUAAUAUAUUGAACCGCAUGGUUCAAUAGUGAAAGACGGUUUUGCUGUCACUUAUAGAUGGAUCCGCGCCGCAUUAGCUAGUUGGUAAGGUAACGGCUUACCAAGGCAACGAUUCGUAGCCGACCUGAGAGGGUGAUCGGCCACACUGGAACUGAGACACGGUCCAGACUCCUACGGGAGGCAGCAGUAGGGAAUCUUCCGCAAAGGGCGAAAGCCUGACGGAGCAACGCCGCGUGAGUGAUGAAGGUCUUCGGAUCGUAAAACUCUGUUAUUAGGGAAGAACAAAUGUGUAAGUAACUAUGCACGUCUUGACGGUACCUAAUCAGAAAGCCACGGCUAACUACGCG